AGUGAACGCUGGCGGUAGGCCUAACACAUGCAAGUCGAACGGCAGCACAGUAAGAGCUUGCUCUUACGGGUGGCGAGUGGCGGACGGGUGAGGAAUACAUCGGAAUCUACUUUUUCGUGGGGGAUAACGUAGGGAAACUUACGCUAAUACCGCAUACGACCUACGGGUGAAAGCAGGGGAUCUUCGGACCUUGCGCGAUUGAAUGAGCCGAUGUCGGAUUAGCUAGUUGGCGGGGUAAAGGCCCACCAAGGCGACGAUCCGUAGCUGGUCUGAGAGGAUGAUCAGCCACACUGGAACUGAGACACGGUCCAGACUCCUACGGGAGGCAGCAGUGGGGAAUAUUGGACAAUGGGCGAAAGCCUGAUCCAGCCAUACCGCGUGAGUGAAGAAGGCCUUCGGGUUGUAAAGCCCUUUUGUUGGGAAAGAAAAGCAGCAGGUUAAUCCCCCGCUGUUCUGACGGUACCCAAAGAAUAAGCACCGGCUAACUUCGUG
rnacentral:rRNA from 1 species